rnacentral:rRNA from 1 species
AACGAACGCUGGCGGCAGGCCUAACACAUGCAAGUCGAGCGCGCCCUUCGGGGUCAGCGGCGGACGGGUGAGUAACGCGUGGGAACGUGCCCUUUUCUACGGAAUAGCCUCGGGAAACUGAGAGUAAUACCGUAUACGCCCUUUGGGGGAAAGAUUUAUCGGAAAAGGAUCGGCCCGCGUUGGAUUAGGUAGUUGGUGGGGUAAUGGCCUACCAAGCCGACGAUCCAUAGCUGGUUUGAGAGGAUGAUCAGCCACACUGGGACUGAGACACGGCCCAGACUCCUACGGGAGGCAGCAGUGGGGAAUCUUAGACAAUGGGGGCAACGCUGAUCGAGCCAGGCCGGGUGAGUGAUGAAGGCCUUAGGGUUGUAAAGCUCUUUCAGCUGGGAAGAUAAUGACGGUACCAGCAGAAGAAGCCCCGGCUAACUACGUG